rnacentral:snRNA from 1 species
UCUCUUGUGCUCGGGCAUGUACUGUCGCCAGUGAGGUCUUUACCGAGGCACAGUCUUUUGCUGAUUGCAAAUUACACAUCCGAACCCGUCUGUUAGCUUCGGCUUUCAGCAAUUUUUGGAAACACCCUCCCUUUCUCUACCUUGUG